rnacentral:rRNA from 1 species
GACGAACGCUGGCGGCGUGCUUAACACAUGCGAGUCGAACGGAAAAGCCCUGCUUUUGUGGGGUGCUCGAGUGGCGAACGGGUGAGUAACACGUGAGUAACCUGCCCUUGACUUUGGGAUAACUUCAGGAAACUGGGGCUAAUACCGGAUAGGAGCUCCUGCUGCAUGGUGGGGGUUGGAAAGUUUCGGCGGUUGGGGAUGGACUCGCGGCUUAUCAGCUUGUUGGUGGGGUAGUGGCUUACCAAGGCUUUGACGGGUAGCCGGCCUGAGAGGGUGACCGGCCACAUUGGGACUGAGAUACGGCCCAGACUCCUACGGGAGGCAGCAGUGGGGAAUAUUGCACAAUGGGCGGAAGCCUGAUGCAGCAACGCCGCGUGCGGGAUGACGGCCUUCGGGUUGUAAACCGCUUUCGCCUGUGACGAAGCGUGAGUGACGGUAAUGGGUAAAGAAGCACCGGCUAACUACGUG